GACGAACGCUGGCGGCGUGCUUAACACAUGCAAGUCGAACGGAAAGGCCCUGCUUUUGUUGGGUGCUCGAGUGGCGAACGGGUGAGUCACACGUGAGUAACCCGCCCUUGACUGUGGGAUAACGUCAGGAAACUGGGGCUCAUACCGGAUAGGAGCUCCUGCUGCAUGGUGGGGGUUGGAAAGUUCCGGCGGUUGUGGAUGGACUCGCGGCUUAUCAGCUUGUUGGUGGGGUAGUGGCUUACCAAGGCUUUGACGGGUAGCCGGCCUGAGAGGGUGACCGGCCACACUGGGACUGAGAUACGGCCCAGACUCCUACGGGAGGCAGCAGUGGGGAAUAUUGCACAAUGGGCGGAAGCCUGAUGCAGCAACGCCGCGUGCGGGAUGACGGCCUUCGGGUUGUAAACCGCUUUCGGCUGUGACGAAGCGUGAGUGACGGUAAUGAGUAAAGAAGCACCGGCUAACUACGUG
rnacentral:rRNA from 1 species